AUUGAACGCUGGCGGCAGGCUUAACACAUGCAAGUCGAGCGAGCGGCGGACGGGUGAGUAAUGUCUGGGAAACUGCCUGAUGGAGGGGGAUAACUACUGGAAACGGUAGCUACUACCGCAUACCAUCAGAUGUGCCCAGAGGGGAUUAGCUAGUGGGGGGGGUAAUGGCUCACCAAGGCGACGAUCCCUAGCUGGUCUGAGAGGAUGACCAGCGAAACUGGGACUGAGACACGGUCCAGACUCCUACGGGAGUCAGCAGGGGGGAAUAUUGGACAAUGGACGAAAGCUGGAUGGAGCCAUGCCGCGUGUGUGAAGAAGGCCUUCGGGGUGUAAAGCACUUUCAGCGAGGAGGCGUUAUUCGAAGAGUAAGCACCGGCUAACUACGUGCCAGCAGCCGCGGUAAUUC
rnacentral:rRNA from 1 species